AAUGGCCUGUGGGUGUCCAAGGAUUUUGGGGGAAAAUGGGAAGAAAUCCACAAAGCAGUGUGUUUGGCCAAAUGGGGAUCAGAAAACACCAUCUUCUUUACCACUUAUGCGAACGGCUCCUGCAAAGCUGACCUUGGGGCACUGGAAUUAUGGAGAACAUCAGACUUGGGGAAAAGCUUCAAAACCAUUGGUGUGAAAAUCUACUCAUUUGGUCUUGGGGGACGUUUCCUUUUUGCCUCUGUGAUGGCUG